rnacentral:rRNA from 1 species
AGAGUUUGAUCCUGGCUCAGGAUGAACGCUGGCGGCAUGCCUAAUACAUGCAAGUCGAACGAGAGGAAGGAAAGCUUGCUUUUCUGAAUCUAGUGGCGAACGGGUGAGUAACACGUAGGUAACCUGCCCAUGUGCCCGGGAUAACUUCUGGAAACGGAUGCUAAAACCGGAUAGGUAGCAGACAAGCAUUUGACUGCUAUUAAAGUGGCUAAGGCCAUGAACAUGGAUGGACCUGCGGUGCAUUAGCUAGUUGGUGAGGUAACGGCCCACCAAGGCGACGAUGCAUAGCCGGCCUGAGAGGGCGGACGGCCACAUUGGGACUGAGACACGGCCCAAACUCCUACGGGAGGCAGCAGUAGGGAAUUUUCGUCAAUGGGGGGAACCCUGAACGAGCAAUGCCGCGUGAGUGAAGAAGGUCUUCGGAUCGUAAAGCUCUGUUGUAAGAGAAAAACGACAUUCAUAGGGAAUGAUGAGUGAGUGAUGGUAUCUUACCAGAAAGUCACGGCUAACUACGUGCCAGCAGCCGCGGUAAUACGUAGGUGGCGAGCGUUAUCCGGAAUGAUUGGGCGUAAAGGGUGCGUAGGUGGCAGAACAAGUCUGGAGUAAAAGGUAUGGGCUCAACCCGUACUGGCUCUGGAAACUGUUCAGCUAGAGAACAGAAGAGGACGGCGGAACUCCAUGUGUAGCGGUAAAAUGCGUAGAUAUAUGGAAGAACACCGGUGGCGAAGGCGGCCGUCUGGUCUGUUGCUGACACUGAAGCACGAAAGCGUGGGGAGCAAAUAGGAUUAGAUACCCUAGUAGUCCACGCCGUAAACGAUGAGAACUAGGUGUUGGGGGAAUAACUCAGUGCCGCAGUUAACGCAAUAAGUUCUCCGCCUGGGGAGUAUGCACGCAAGUGUGAAACUCAAAGGAAUUGACGGGGGCCCGCACAAGCGGUGG